rnacentral:rRNA from 1 species
UACGUAGGGGGCAAGCGUUGUCCGGAAUCAUUGGGCGUAAAGAGCGUGUAGGCGGCCCGAUAAGUCCGCCGUGAAAGUCCAGGGCUCAACCCUGGAAUGCCGGUGGAAACUGUCGGGCUCGAGUCCGGAAGAGGCGAGUGGAAUUCUCGGUGUAGCGGUGAAAUGCGUAGAUAUCGAGAGGAACACCUGCGGCGAAGGCGGGUAGCUGGGCCGACACUGACGCUGAUGCGCGAAAGCCAGGGGAGCGAACGGG